rnacentral:rRNA from 2 species
ACACAUGCAAGUCGAACGAUGACUUCUCUAGCUUGCUAGAGAAGAUUAGUGGCGGACGGGUGAGUAACAUUUAGGAAUCUGCCUAGUAGUGGGGGAUAGCUCGGGGAAACUCGAAUUAAUACCGCAUACGACCUACGGGUGAAAGGGGGCGCAAGCUCUUGCUAUUAGAUGAGCCUAAAUCAGAUUAGCUAGUUGGUGGGGUAAAGGCCCACCAAGGCGACGAUCUGUAACUGGUCUGAGAGGAUGAUCAGUCACACCGGAACUGAGACACGGUCCGGACUCCUACGGGAGGCAGCAGUGGGGAAUAUUGGACAAUGGGGGCAACCCUGAUCCAGCCAUGCCGCGUGUGUGAAGAAGGCCUUUUGGUUGUAAAGCACUUUAAGCAGGGAGGAGAGGCUAAUGGUUAAUACCCAUUAGAUUAGACGUUACCUGCAGAAUAAGCACCGGCUAACUCUGUGCCAGCAGCCGCGGUAAUACAGAGGGUGCGAGCGUUAAUCGGAAUUACUGGGCGUAAAGCGAGUGUAGGUGGCUCAUUAAGUCACAUGUGAAAUCCCCGGGCUUAACCUGGGAACUGCAUGUGAUACUGGUGGUGCUAGAAUAUGUGAGAGGGAAGUAGAAUUCCAGGUGUAGCGGUGAAAUGCGUAGAGAUCUGGAGGAAUACCGAUGGCGAAGGCAGCUUCCUGGCAUAAUAUUGACACUGAGAUUCGAAAGCGUGGGUAGCAAACAGGAUUAGAUACCCUGGUAGUCCACGCCG